GUGUCUCCGGAUGUUCAAGUUUUGGGGGAGAGAUCAUUCAAUGGUUCAUGCUCUAGUAUGGUAAACACGGCAGACAACUUAUACAACACAAAGCUUUAUUUAGGCUCUUCAUCAAGGGAUAACGAGAAUUUGCCUCCAAAAAGGAUAAUACACCCAAGCAAGGUUCUCUGCUCUCCAUAUGAUCACAAUGAGAGAGGACCUCUUCAGCCACAUGAGAUAGAACUACACAAGGGAAUAGUGGCACUUAGCAAAGUUGAACCUCACAGAAGCCAAGUUGUUGUCUUGAUUGAUAAAACCACCCUUUUCCUUGGACAACUCGGUGAUUCAUUUGAUGCGGCUGGUCAUGUGGAAGCUUAUGUUUUCAAAGUUUUUUGUCGGAUCCUGUUUCGAGAAAAUCAUCCAAGGAGGUCAAAAAUACACUACUUCUUCACUACACUAGGUGAUUAUUUUCUUGGGAGUUGGUCCUCUGAAGAAGGAAGGAGGGAAAUGAGGAGAAAAGCACUUAGAAGCUUC